AUUGAACGCUGGCGGCAGGCUUUACACAUGCAAGUCGAGCGGUAGCAGGCAGUCUGCUCCUGGCUUCUGGCGAGCGGGGGAGUAUUAUGCCUAGGAAUGUGCAUGGUUGUGGGGGAACACGGCGGGAACUGUGCUAUAAUCGCGGAUACGCUGUGGGGGAAAACGUGGGACCACUUCGGACUUUUUGGCCUCAGACCUUUCGAGCUCCGAUUAGCUAGUUGGUGGGGUAAAGGCCUACCAAGGCGACGAUCCGUAACUGGUCUGAGAGGAUGAUCAGUCACACUGGGACUGAGACACGGCCCAGACUCCUACGGGAGGCAGCAGUGGGGAAUUUUGGACAAUGGGCGAAAGCCUGAUCCAGCCAUGCCGCGUGUGGGAAGAAGGUCUUCGGGUUGUAAACCGCUUUAGGAUGGAAGGAAAAGCAUUUAGUUAAUACCUGGCGGUUAUGACGUUACCGUCAGAAUAAGCACCGGCUAACUUCGUG
rnacentral:rRNA from 1 species